GUUCUACCAUCUUCCCAGUUCACAAGUUGAAAAUGGAUGACACCUUAUCAGAUCAUCAAAGCACAGUAUUACCAGAGUUAUAGUGUUGAAUGUGUUUCAUCUGCACCAUUUCUAAGUAAUAAUUCAUCACAAAUGACAAGAUAGAAUCUCUAGCAAUAAGAUUUUGGGUCAUCGUCAUCCUAUAGACUUCAAAAGAAACACAGGCACUCAAACGUCUGACUCUAAUCAUAAGUUAGCAUAAUAGGAACGAUGGCAAUAGAAGAGUAUGUUUAGCUGAUAUCAUUUGGAAAUGGGAACAUGAGCACGUGAUUACAGCGUGUGUUUCUAUGAAGACACUCAGAAGCGGCCCAUAGAGACAGGAUCUAAGGCCUCUUACUAACAGCCAGCACCACAA
rnacentral:lncRNA from 1 species